GGGAAGGUAGCUCAGUGGUAGAGUACUUGCCUUGCAUGCAUGAGGGUCUGGGUUCGAUUCCUCAGCACCA
rnacentral:tRNA from 1 species